UUGGACCUACGGGGGGCAGCAGUGAGGAAUAUUGGUCAAUGGCCGAGAGGCUGAACCAGCCAAGUCGCGUGAGGGAUGACGGCCCUACGGGUUGUAAACCUCUUUUGUCGGGGAGCAAGACCCGCCUCGUGCAGGCGGAGCGAGAGUACCCGAAGAAAAAGCAUCGGCUAACUCCGUGCCAGCAGCCGCGGUAAUACGGAGGAUGCGAGCGUUAUCCGGAUUUAUUGGGCGUAAAGGGUGCGUAGGCGGCCUGCUAAGUCUGGAGUGAAAGGUACCGGCUCAACCGGUACAGGCUCUGGAAACUG
rnacentral:rRNA from 1 species